rnacentral:rRNA from 1 species
AUGGCUGCUAGCCGGUGGGGUCCGUGAGACUUUAGUGGCGCAGUUAACGCGAUAAGUAGACCGCCUGGGGAGUACGGCCGCAAGGUUAAAACUCAAAUGAAUUGACGGGGGCCCGCACAAGCGGUGGAGCAUGUGGUUUAAUUCGAUGCAACGCGAAGAACCUUACCUGGUCUUGACAUAGUGAGAAUCUUUCAGAGAUGAGAGAGUGCCUUCGGGAAUUCACAUACAGGUGCUGCAUGGCUGUCGUCAGCUCGUGUCGUGAGAUGUUGGGUUAAGUCCCGCAACGAGCGCAACCCUUUUCCUUAUUUGCCAGCGGGUUAAGCCGGGAACUUUAAGGAUACUGCCAGUGACAAACUGGAGGAAGGCGGGGACGACGUCAAGUCAUCAUGGCCCUUACGACCAGGGCUACACACGUG